rnacentral:lncRNA from 1 species
GAAGAACUAAGUCCUCCACUGCCUGCUUUCUAUCAGCCUCCAGCACCUGGCUCCCAAACGUAGAGCUCUGAACACGGGUACCACGUUUCCAGGACCUGGAUCCUCCACAGGCACUUUUAUAUUUCAACUCAAGGAUCCGACUACGUGAUAUGUUGAGAAUGCACCUCUGUAAAAGACAACAAAAUAAGAACCAGCCAAGGAAAGCAAAUAAGUUUCUUGACUUCUUUUGAACGUGUGAGGACCAUUUGACUUGUCCACAUCCCAGAGAUCCUGUUUCCCAAGCAAACAUUUUCAGGAGUCUU